GACAGAGGGUGCAAACGUUGUUCGGAAUUACUGGGCGUAAAGCGCGUGUAGGCUGCUUAGCAAGUCGGAUGUGAAAGCCCUGGGCUCAACCUAGGAAGUGCAUUCGAAACUGCAAAGCUUGAGUCCUGGAGAGGAAGGCGGAAUUCUCGGUGUAGAGGUGAAAUUCGUAGAUAUCGAGAGGAACACCGGUGGCGAAGGCGGCCUUCUGGACAGUGACUGACGCUGAGACGCGAAAGCGUGGGGAGCAAACAGG
rnacentral:rRNA from 1 species